ACGUUCGUUGUCGACAUAUAUUGCGAUUCUUGCAUAAUUCUCGUCAUUGCCCGCUGUCGAUGCAAAGUCGCCUGUAACGGUGAUUUCGAGUUUUUUACCCGUGAAAAUGAAUUCCGCACCCGCACCGGAAAAUGCCGCCCACAGCGUAUCGUUAUAUAAAUAGGUUCUUCCGAUCGUUUUUACGGAUUUAUCAUUAAGUACAAUCGCCUUUCUGUUGUUCAUAGUUGCUCCUCGCUUAUAAUUCUUAUUUUAUCGGGUUAAUUUCAGCCUUAAUCUGCGCUUAACUCUUUUAUCGACAUUGCGGUACGGAACAGUUCGUCCCUGCCAAAACCGGUUGCUGUGAUAUGGAACAUAUACUCGCCGUUAUCCCACAUAAGAAAUGCCAUACCUUUUUUGGAAACGCAAUACAUCGCACUUUUAUCCCCCAGUUUGACUUUUUCGGGAGAAAUCUGCGCAUCCUCCGUUCCGAUCUGUGCAUUUUCCAUCUGUGAUCUUGUACAUUGAGUAAAAAUCAGCUGUUUGCCGUGCUUAUUUAUGUAUUCGACAAUAUAGGCAUAUUCGGUUUUUUCUAUAAGCCGUGUGGCGUAUGCGUAGCGAAAGCGAGUCUUAAAAGGCGUUUUUAGUCGCUUGUCCUGGACCCGAAGCGGGAUGAUCUAGCCCUGGGCAGGUUGAAGCGCGGGUAAGACCGCGUGGAGGACCGAACCCACCUGGGUUGAAAACCGGGGGGAUGACCUGGGGCUAGGGGUGAAAGGCCAAUCAAAUUCCGUGAUAGCUGGUUCUCUCCGAAAUGCAUUUAGGUGCAGCGUCGGUCGAUUGCGUCGCGGGGGUAGAGCUACCGGAUGCUUGCGGGCCCUUGUUGGGUACCAACAGCAGCCGAACUCCGAAUACCGUUGACGUGUAUUCCGGCAGUGAGUCGGCGGGGGAUAAGCUCCGUCGUCGAGAGGGAGACAGCCCAGACCGUCGUCUAAGGUCCCGAAGCGUGUGCUAAGUGGGAAAGGAUGUGGAGUCGCAUAGACAGCCAGGAGGUUGGCUCAGAAGCAGCCAUCCUUGAAAGAGUGCGUAACAGCUCACUGGUCUAGUGGUUCCGCGCCGACAAUGUAGCGGGGCUCAAGCACACCACCGAAGACGCGGCAGUAUUUUGUACUGGGUAGGAGAGCGUCCCAUGAGGGGCGAAGCGGCCGUGUGAACGCGCCGUGGACUUCAUGGGAGUGAGAAUGCAGACAUGAGUAGCGAGAGACGGGUGAGGAUCCCGUCCGCUGGAUGACCAAGGGUUCCGGGGCCACGUUCGUCGUCCCCGGGUGAGUCGGGUCCUAAGGCGAGGCCGACAGGCGUAGUCGAAUGGAUGAACGGGUGGAUAUUCCCGUACCGACCAUGGACCGGCAAAACCGAGACGGUGAGUACUAACCUCCGCCUCGUGGUGGUUCCUUCCUUCGGGUUGGUUCCGCCGCGUGGUGUUGGGACCGUAGCCGCAGUAGGUCAGCGCAGGGGUGACACGGAAUGGGAGCCGGCCGCGGAGGUGGUUUUCCGUGGUCAAGCACGCAGCCAGUCAUGUAGGCAAAUCCGCAUGGCGCGCAUGGCGAGGUGUGAUGAUGGGAGCCGUUAUGGCUCGAUAUCCGGUUGUCCAGGCCGUCGAGAAAAGCCUCGGCGUGAGGGCCAUGGCCGCCCGUACCCCAAACCGACACUGGUGGUCAGGUAGAGAAUACCAAGGCGAUCGAGCGAAUCCUGGUCAAGGAACUCGGCAAAUCACUCCCGUGCCUUCGGUAUAAGGGAGACCCGCUGGGGUGAACCGGCUAGCCCGGGGAGCUUUGGUGGGUGGCACAGACCAGGGGGUAGCGACUGUUUACCAAAAACACAGGUGCAUGCGAAGGCGAAAGCCGCUGUAUAUGCACUGACGCCUGCCCGGUGCCGGAAGGUUAAGAGGAUCCGUCAAUCCCUUCGGGGACGAAGCGGUGAAUUCAAGCCCCGGUAAACGGCGGUGGUAACUAUAACCAUCCUAAGGUAGCGAAAUUCCUUGUCGGGUAAGUUCCGACCUGCACGAAUGGCGUAACGACUUCCCCGCUGUCUCCAACAUAGGCUCAGCGAAAUUGAAUUCUGAGUUAAGAUGCUCAGUACCCGCGGUUAGACGGAGAGACCCCGUGAACCUUUACUAUAGCUUUGCAGUGGUAUUAGGUAAGACAUGUGUAGGAUAGGUGGGAUGCUAUGAAGGUAGGACGCUAGUUUUACUGGAGCAGACGUUGAAAUACCACCCUUGUGUUAUUUGAUAUCUAACCUACUUCCGUAAACCGGAAGAGGGACCCUGCAUGGUGGGUAGUUUGACUGGGGCGGUCGCCUCCCAAAGAGUAACGGAGGCGCCCAAAGAUACCCUCAGCUUGGAUGGAAACCAAGCGCAGAGUGCAAAGGCAAAAGGGUGUUUGACUGCGAGACCCACAAGUCGAGCAGGGACGAAAGUCGGGCUUAGUGAUCCGGCGGUGCUGAAUGGAAAGGCCGUCGCUCAACGGAUAAAAGCUACCCUGGGGAUAACAGGCUGAUCUCCCCCAAGCGUCCACAGCGACGGGGAGGUUUGGCACCUCGAUGUCGGCUCGUCACAUCCUGGGGCUGAAUUCGGUCCCAAGGGUUCGGCUGUUCGCCGAUUAAAGUGGCACGCGAGCUGGGUUCAGAACGUCGUGAGACAGUUCGGUCCCUAUCUGUCGUGGGCGCAGGAAAUUUGAGAAGAGCUGUCCUCAGUACGAGAGGACCGGGAUGGACGCAUCAAUGGUGGACCAGUUGUCACGCCAGUGGCAUAGCUGGGUAGCUAAAUGCGGAAGGGAUAAACGCUGAAGGCAUCUAAGUGUGAAACCCACUUCAAGAUGAGAUUUCCCAUUGCGCAAGCAAGUAAGACCCCUUAAAGACGAUAAGGUAGAUAGGUCAGGAGUGUAAGCAUGGUGACAUGUUAAGCGGACUGAUACUAAUAGGUCGAGGGCUUGACCGA
rnacentral:rRNA from 1 species